GAUGAACGCUGGCGGCGUGCCUAAUACAUGCAAGUCGAGCGAACAGACGAGGAGCUUGCUCCUCUGACGUUAGCGGCGGACGGGUGAGUAACACGUGGAUAACCUACCUAUAAGACUGGGAUAACUUCGGGAAACCGGAGCUAAUACCGGAUAAUAUAUUGAACCGCAUGGUUCAAUAGUGAAAGACGGUUUUGCUGUCACUUAUAGAUGGAUCCGCGCCGCAUUAGCUAGUUGGUAAGGUAACGGCUUACCAAGGCAACGAUGCGUAGCCGACCUGAGAGGGUGAUCGGACACACUGGAACUGGGACACGGUCCAGACUCCUACGGGAGGCAGCAGAAGGGAAUCUUCCGCAAUGGGCGAAAGCCUGACGGAGCAACGCCGCGUGAGUGAUGAAGGUCUUCGGAUCGUAAAACUCUGUUAUUAGGGAAGAACAAAUGUGUAAGUAACUAUGCACGUCUUGACGGUACCUAAUCAGAAAGCCACGGCUAACUACGUG
rnacentral:rRNA from 1 species